ACGGGUGAGUAACACGUGGGCAAUCUGCCCUUCACUCUGGGACAAGCCCUGGAAACGGGGUCUAAUACCGGAUAACACUCUCGCAGGCAUCUGCGAGGGUUAAAAGCUCCGGCGGUGAAGGAUGAGCCCGCGGCCUAUCAGCUUGUUGGUGAGGUAAUGGCUCACCAAGGCGACGACGGGUAGCCGGCCUGAGAGGGCGACCGGCCACACUGGGACUGAGACACGGCCCAGACUCCUACGGGAGGCAGCAGUGGGGAAUAUUGCACAAUGGGCGAAAGCCUGAUGCAGCGACGCCGCGUGAGGGAUGACGGCCUUCGGGUUGUAAACCUCUUUCAGCAGGGAAGAAGCGAAAGUGACGGUACCUGCAGAAGAAGCGCCGGCUAACUACGUGCCAGCAGCCGCGGUAAUACGUAGGGCGCAAGCGUUGUCCGGAAUUAUUGGGCGUAAAGAGCUCGUAGGCGGCUUGUCACGUCGAUUGUGAAAGCCCGAGGCUUAACCUCGGGUCUGCAGUCGAUACGGGCUAGCUAGAGUGUGGUAGGGGAGAUCGGAAUUCCUGGUGUAGCGGUGAAAUGCGCAGA
rnacentral:rRNA from 1 species